AUUGAACGCUGGCGGCAGGCCUAACACAUGCAAGUCGAGCGGAUGAGUGGAGCUUGCUCCAUGAUUCAGCGGCGGACGGGUGAGUAAUGCCUAGGAAUCUGCCUGGUAGUGGGGGACAACGUUUUGAAAGGAACGCUAAUACCGCAUACGUCCUACGGGAGAAAGUGGGGGAUCUUCGGAACUCACGCUAUCAGAUGAGCCUAGGUCGGAUUAGCUAGUUGGUGAGGUAAAGGCUCACCAAGGCGACGAUCCGUAACUGGUCUGAGAGGAUGAUCAGUCACACUGGAACUGAGACACGGCCCAGACUCCUACGGGAGGCAGCAGUGGGGAAUAUUGGACAAUGGGCGAAAGCCUGAUCCAGCCAUGCCGCGUGUGUGAAGAAGGUCUUCGGAUUGUAAAGCACUUUAAGUUGGGAGGAAGGGAAGUAAGUUAAUACCUUGCUGUUUUGACGUUACCAACAGAAUAAGCCCCGGCUAACUUCGUGCCAGCAGCCGCAGUAAUAC
rnacentral:rRNA from 1 species